rnacentral:rRNA from 1 species
UGGCUAAUAAGUGACGGUACCUUACCAGAAAGGGACGGCUAACUACGUGCCAGCAGCCGCGGUAAUACGUAGGUCCCGAGCGUUAUCCGGAAUUAUUGGGCGUAAAGGGCACGUAGGCGGACAAAUAAAGUUUGAUGUCAAAUAUGAUGGCUCAACCAUCAAGAGGCGUUGAAAACUGUUUAUCUAGAAUCUCGGAGAGGUAAGUGGAAUUCCAUGUGUAGCGGUGGAAUGCGUAGAUAUAUGGAGGAACACCAAUGGCGAAGGCAGCUUACUGGACGAAGAUUGACGCUGAGGUGCGAAAGCGUGGGUAGCAAACAGGAUUAGAUACCCUGGUAG